UUUCUUUUAAUACAUAAGAUGUCUUAUUAAUGAUGGUGUAGUUUGCUGAAUUUUACAGAUUGUUGUGGCAGCGUUCGAAACAUCAUAGAAGUUGUUCGUUAGCUCGAACCAAAGUUGCCUAAUCAGCACCUGCUGUCCAAAAUGUCCGAGGCAAUGAAGGAAAGUGAUGGUCAGGGUUUACAAGCAAACCAAGAGGGUGUACGAGGAGCAGAGGCACACUCACUACAGCAACAAAACCCAAAUAUAAUUGGC